rnacentral:rRNA from 1 species
CAGUAGCCACGGUAAUACGAAGGGGGCUAGCGUUGUUCGGAUUUACUGGGCGUAAAGGGCGCGUAGGCGGGCGAUUAAGUCAGAGGUGAAAUCCCAAGGCUCAACCUUGGAACUGCCUUUGAUACUGGUUGUCUUGAGUCCGGGAGAGGUGAGUGGAACUGCGAGUGUAGAGGUGAAAUUCGUAGAUAUUCGCAAGAACACCAGUGGCGAAGGCGGCUCACUGGCCCGGAACUGACGCUGAGGCGCGAAAGCGUGGGGAGCAAACAGGAUUAGAGACCCCAGUAGUCCCUGUCUCUUAUAC